rnacentral:rRNA from 1 species
UACGGAGGGUGCAAGCGUUAUCCGGAUUUACUGGGUUUAAAGGGUGCGUAGGUGGGUAGGUAAGUCAGUGGUGAAAUCUUCGAGCUUAACUCGGAAACUGCCAUUGAUACUAUCUGUCUUGAAUACUUUGGAGGUAAGCGGAAUAUGUCAUGUAGCGGUGAAAUGCUUAGAUAAGACAUAGAACACCAAUUGCGAAGGCAGCUUACUACACAGUCAUUGACACUGAGGCACGAAAGCGUGGGGAUCAAACAGG